rnacentral:rRNA from 1 species
GAUGAACGCUGGCGGCGUGCCUAAUACAUGCAAGUCGAGCGAACAGAUAAGGAGCUUGCUCCUUUGACGUUAGCGGCGGACGGGUGAGUAACACGUGGGUAACCUACCUAUAAGACUGGAAUAACUCCGGGAAACCGGAGCUAAUGCCGGAUAACAUUUAGAACCGCAGGGUUCUAAAGUGAAAGAUGGUUUUGCUAUCCCUUAUAGAUGGACCCGCGCCGUAUUAGCUAGUUGGUAAGGUAACGGCUUACCAAGGCAACGAUACGUAGCCGACCUGAGAGGGUGAUCGGCCACACUGGAACUGAGACACGGUCCAGACUCCUACGGGAGGCAGCAGUAGGGAAUCUUCCGCAAUGGGCGAAAGCCUGAUGGAGCCACGCCGCGUGAGUGAUGAAGGUCUUCGGAUCGUAAAACUCUGUUAUUAGGGAAGAACAAAUGUGUAAGUAACUGUGCACGUCUUGACGGUACCUAAUCAGAAAGCCACGGCUAACUACGUG